CAGUAUUCCAGGUAUUAUCCAUUCCAGCCAGUAACUCCAAGACGAACAUAAUCUCAAAGUACUUUUAUUAAAAUAGAAACUUGACACAUCUGUGGAAUUCCGAAACUAGAAGAGAUUGGA